rnacentral:rRNA from 1 species
GCGCAGCAGGCGCGAAACCUCCGCAAUGCGGGAAACCGCGACGGGGGACCCCGACGUGCCGUGGCAACGCCACGGCUUUUCCGGAGUGUAAAAAGCUCCGGGAAUAAGGGCUGGGCAAGGCCGGUGGCAGCCGCCGCGGUAAUACCGGCGGCCCGAGUGGUGGCCGCUAUUAUUGGGCCUAAAGCGUCCGUAGCCGGGCCCGUAAGUCCCUGGCGGAAAUCCCACGGCUCAACCGUGGGGCUUGCUGGGGAUACUGCGGGGUCUUGGGACCGGGAGAGGCGGGGGGUACCCC